CCACCUUCAUCGUUGUCAAAGUGGCGCAUAAUAUUUUUUCCACUGGGUUUCUUACUCAACAUCAGGUUUUGGUGCAAGAAGGAUGGCCAUGGUGAACAGAUUGAUGAAAAUGAAGUGAAAAGUAAUUAAUGUGAUUUAUAGCAUCCUAUAACACUCGCUGAUCCAGGGCCUUGUGAAGAUCAAUAUACUAACAAAUGAAUGGAGGUAUAAGUGGGUUUCAAUCCCACAAUUUGAGUUUACAAAUUAUUUUGAGAAGUGUAAGAUUCUGGGAUUCAUUAAAGUUUUAAGUAUUUUUAUGGAA